GGUCUGGUAGCUCAGCUGGAUAGAGCAACAGCCUUCUAAGCUGUGGGUCAUUGGUUCGAAUCCAAUCCAGAUCACCA
rnacentral:tRNA from 1 species